rnacentral:lncRNA from 1 species
AUGCUCAGGGACACCAAGCAGCUGGGGAAAGGGAGUCAGACCACCCAGGCUCCUGAGAGGCGCGCCAAAACGCCACGGAAGCCGGGCUCCAGCAGCCUUGCCUUUCCCCACACCGCAGGACACGAUGUCGACCCUGCCCAUCGGGCACAAUGCUUGGGCAGAAGAGGCCAGGGUGGGGCCGCAGCGGCAGGGAGGCCUGCGGGGAGCUCUGCCGCCAGGGACCAGGCCAGGAGUGUCCCACGCUCAGACAGGAGCCUUGGUGUCUCAGGAGCAGGCGUGCUGAGGCCAUCUCAUCUUCCUCGUCCCACACCCCGGUGUCGGCCAGGCCCUGACAGUGAAACAACACAGGAUGGGAAGAGGGCCCAGAACACCGGGCCGGCACCCUCCCGCUGCAUCGGGAAGCAGAGAGGAGCGCAUGUGGUCAGCGGUGCCAGUGUCGAGAAGUGACCUAAACACAACUGAUUUAGUUCUGUG